rnacentral:rRNA from 2 species
GCGAGAAAACUUUGCAAUGUGCGAAAGCACGACAAGGUUAAUCCGAGUGGUUUCUGCUAAAGGAACCUUUUGUCGGUCCUAGAAACACCGAUGAAUAAGGGGUGGGCAAGUUCUGGUGUCAGCCGCCGCGGUAAAACCAGCACCUCAAGUGGUCAGGAUGAUUAUUGGGCCUAAAGCAUCCGUAGCCGGCUCUGUAAGUUUCCGGUUAAAUCCAUUUGCUCAACAAAUGGGCUGCCGAAAAUACUGCAGGACUAGGGAGUGGGAGAGGUAGACGGUACUCGGUAGGAAGGGGUAAAUCCUUUGAUCUAUUGAUGACCACCUGUGGCGAAGGCGGUCUACCAGAACACGUUCGACGGUGAGGGAUGAAAGCUGGGGAGCAAACCGGAUUAGAUACCCGGGUAGUCCCAGCUGUAAACGAUGCAGACUCGGUGAUGCCCUGGCUUGUGGCCAGUGCAGUGCCGCAGGGAAGCCGUUAAGUUUG